GCCAUUAGGAGGUGCAGAAGUCUAGUUUUCUCUCAGAACACUUGAAUUACAAAAGGUUACUGAAAGGUUAUUAUGGAACUUUUGCCCAAUGAUGCCAAAAUGUAUACUGCCUACUGAAGCUUUAAGUGUUUUAGGCUUCUUCGUAACUACAGAUUAAGUAUAUUUUUGCUUGUCUUUGUCACAUGCACACUAUGUGCUUUUACAUUUUUUUUUUCUUCUACCAUACCAAGUGGUUUUCUUGCCGGAUCUAAAGUCAGUGACCAUGACGUUUUAAUUAUUACGGCUUAAAUACGCAUUGAUUUUGUGGGAUAAAUACGAAUUACAGUGCAUUUCUUUCGUAGAUACAGUAUAGCUACGAACGGUGUAUGAUACCAGCCUGAUCUGCAGGAUAUUUGGGGGGAUGUGAAAGGCAUUUGAGCCAAUCUUGGGGGGCAAAUCAGAAGUGCACUAGGAGGGAUCAGAAGGGCACUAUUUGGGUCAAUCAGAGAGCCUCUUGAGUAGGCUGAAUUGUUAUUAAGGCUCCUCAGAGCCAAAAAAGGUUCCCUGAGCAGCUCUAGGAACCUCAGUUGCCCCUUUGUUUUGCUAUUAGUGCAAAAAAAUUAAGCAUUAAAGUACUCCAUUCAAAAAAAGACCACUUCAGCUUCUACAUUUAGACCCUUUAGACCCUCUUUGGACACCACUACACAAACCAGACAGUGUAAAGUCAGAUGACAGCAGCAACUCAUUCAGACUAAACAUGUGUACAUAGCAGCAUUAGUGGCCUUAGCUUCAGUGCAGUACAGCAGCCUGUGAAGUGACUUGAAAGUAUAUUUAUUAUUCUUUAAGAUUAGGCCAGUUUAUCUUGUAAUUCACGACAUGGAGUGGCUGCCGAUAUUAUUAGUCAACUAGGAGUAAGUUUUUAUUUUCACCCAAAUGAUGUCAGUAAUCUCUGUUCUCUCCUUUCCUGUAUUUUUCUUAAUCUCACUCUAUGUUUUGAGGUAAUCGUCUUUGUGUGGUGACCACUUAAAAAGUCUGAAUUAUAGAGCUUUGUUCACAUAUACGUUACGUAUUUAAAGACAAACCUGGUGUUGAAGAUAGUGUUUAUAUGUUCUGGUACUUUGUCCUUAUCUCCCCCUUGUAGAUGCAGACGGAUCAGAUCCCUCGCAGUGCUGUUUCCUUUCGUGUUGUUUUGUUUCUCCAGAGUUUUAUCCUUAAAUAUCCCUUAAAUAUCUGUUGGCUGGGCAGUUCUCUUUUUAUUCUCGCUUUAAGACGAUAAAACAACAAAAAAAACAAAAAAAAAAGGAAAAAAAAGUUCACAUUAAAGAUCAGUUUCAGAUAUGUAGCAUUUAAAUAUUGUAAAGAAGGUGAAGUUGCCACAUAAUUAAUCAUAGUUUUCAAGUUGCAUAUAUAAAAGCAAUGGUGCUUCAUAGACCAUGUAUGUGUCCUUUUAGAACUUGUAUCACAUCUCUCGGAUCCUAACACUAUAUUUUUUAUGUUUUUUAUGUCGUGCUGAAAUUGUCUUUAAAGUUCAUUUCGAUCCUCGUAACGUGCCUUAUGGUUGUCUCAACACAGUUUACCCUUCAAGAGCACAGUUUGUUCCCUGCAACCUGUAGAUGACUUCCUCUGACUCCUCACACCUUAACUGCUAGCAAGCUAGCAAAGCCUGAUAUUAAUGUGAAAUUAUACACCAGAUUCGACUGUUAUUAGCUUAUUAAAUGUGCAUUAUCAGUCAUUAUAAGCCUCAUAGGUCAGUAGUAUAACUACUACGUUGUAAAAGUGAAAGCGAAACUUAAAAGCAACACGUUGUGAAACUGAAUGCAAACAAAACAGCUUCUGUAGGUUUAGGAAACAAAAUCACUUAGUUAAGUUAAGGGGAAAAUAUUGUGUUUUGGCUUAAAAUAACUACGUUUGGAAAGUGAAAGUGAAACUUUAGGUUGUGAACAUAAAGACAACUACACGUUGUUGGUUCCACACAGGAUGCUAAUCCUGGUCUCCUGGUGAAACUACUGUGUUUUGUGUCCCAUCCAUCGCCCCGACCUCCUCCUCAUAUGGAGGGUCAUGGUGUCUGACUUCCACUUCUGCUCCUGUCAUAAGCAACACGUUCUCACUCCCAACUCGUCAAGCACCGCCGUUUGGUCGACGCCCCUCGUGUGAAACUAAAAGUAACGUUGACUUAUUUGGACACGUCAGUCUUUAGUCACAUAACUCGUCAGAAUCAUCAGAUCUGUGUGACGUGAGUCAGUAGUCACGUGACUCAUUAGUAUCGUCAGUAGUCACGUGAGUCGUUAGCAUCAUCUGUCACGUGAGUCGUUACUAUCGUCAGCCCCGAGUUACGUGAGUAAUUAGUAUUGUCAGCCCCGUGAGUCGUUAUCCUGUGAGUCGUUAGUAUCGUCAGCCCAGCGAGUCAUGUGAGUCGCUAGUAUCAUCAGUCCAAAAGUAACACUAGAGGGGUACGCCGUGCGUCGGUCUCUGAUGCCGAGGGGCACUGACCAAGCGGCGGUAUUUGACGAGUUGGGAGUGAGAACGUGUCGACAUGGAGGAAGAACGGCACCUCAGAUGGACUUUUUAGCAACCGAUGAGAUUUUAACUAAAUUGGGUUAAUGUAUGUGGAAAGAGUUGGCUGCAUGGAAGUUCCAUAAUAUAAAUCUAGGCAGAGGGGGGGUCCCGCUCACGUUUUUAAGCUAGCGUCUGCUGCACUAGCUUCAACCAAACCAUUUAAAAUGGUUUAAAAAUGAAAAAUGUAUACAGCUAGUCAUUUAAAUCGAGAUAAAACGAUUGUUACACAUUGUUUUAUCAUCGCUAAAAUAAAGAAAUGUUCCAGUAGAUAUUCAUUUAUGUUAGAAUAGUUGACCUGAGGAACAGAUGUCAGAAUAAAGACAACUCGCUGAGAGGAUAAAAGCUAAAGCUAGUAGCACAGAUGCUAACCCCCAAAAAUGGGCGGGGCUUCAGCUCCCUAUUUAAACCCUAUAGAAGGCGUAUCACCAGUCCUAGAGCUCUACACGCUGUGCUGCUUGAAAGGUUUUACAGUUAAUCCACUCAUUCACUGCACUUCCUCUUUAAAGACGAUAUCAGCAUCUCGUGGCUCAACAGGGUUUUUGUUUUUCCUCAUGGGAUCCAUGUUCAGCUACUUAUAUUCUGUUUUCGUCAGUGUCAUACAGUACAGUUAUAUUAGCUGAUCCUGCAUUUUUUUUAAUAUGCUAUAAAUCCAUAUUGAUCUUAUUAUUAUCAUAUAUUGUUCUUAUUAUUAUUACUACAUGGGGAAUUAAGAAGUUUGUGUUUCUGCACUGAUAUCUUAUUAUUAUUAAAGCAUACUGAUCUUACCCUCCCU